CUGCAAAGUGCCCGGGACUCCAGAGCACCGGUCCCGACUUACAGGGCGGCCCUGGUCCGCUGCUCCAUCUUCAGCUGGUCCUCUCAGCGUCUGCCCCUGUUGCAGCUUCUCUCCCAGCUCCUGUGAUUUCAGAGUCCCCUUCUCCUGGACCCAGUGAUUUCAGCUCUUUCUUGACCCACAAGCUUUUUUGCACUGCCAGCGAUGCUCUUCCAGCUCCGCAGUUCCAGCUCCAGCAGCUCCUUGCAGCGUCUGUCCCUCUUGCAGCUUCUCUCCCCGCCCCAGUGAUUUCAGACUCCCCUUUCCCCCCCAGUGAAUUCAGCUCUGGCUUGACCCACAAGCUUUAUUGCACUGCCAGCUCUUCUGUUUCUCUUCCCAAUCAAUGUCUUUGGAGCCAUANUUCCCCAGAUUUGUCCUAAACUGGGACACAUAUAUACUACACUUUUAUUAUUUAUUAGGUACAUCAUCUUUAUAUUACUANCACAUAACCCUUUUUCUCCUUCCCAUGACAUGAUCUUUUUUUAACUACUGCUCUGCAAUGACUUAGGUCCCUUCUGAACCCAUCAUUCUA
rnacentral:lncRNA from 12 species